rnacentral:lncRNA from 1 species
AGAGAUCAUGGAAUUGAGGCAGGAAAUGGAAGAAAGCUGAUCAAGAGUGGAUUUUUAAGCUAGUUACUGGGGGUUCAGUCUUUCCAGGGAGCUCUGGGAGACAGUGUAAAAUAUGCCUCAUUCUCCCCACCAAGGAGCCAUGUAGAUGGGGCAGUUAGCCAUCAGAUCCCUCUUCAGCUGUGUCUGAAGGCUGCCUUGAGAGGCAUUAACUCCCUGCCCUGAACACCUGGCCAAAUGUGCGCCGGUGGGCAGAUAAUACAGCCCCAGGUGGAGCCACAGUUGUUCAUAAUAAGCAACCUUCCCUGUAGAGGUGAAGACCAAGGAGAUGGGGCAGAGCCCAGAAGCAUCUACUAGAAGAAUGUUGGGUUUACAGUGAAGGCACACGGAGGGGAUUCCUAGCUUGGGUGAUCAACAAAGACUUCAUAGAGAAGAGCUUUCUAGGCUGGAACAAUGGCACAGUGUUUGGGAGAAUGCAGUAUUUCAAUGAAGAAUAUUAGAAGAGCAUCUACAAAUCCCAGACUGGUGUGUGCAAGUUCUGAGGAAUGGUGGGGCAACCCAAUGUGUUUGGGCGACCUUCAGAGACAUCUGGGACAGAGCCACAACAGGGCAAUGACUGACACCCAACUCACAGCCUGACUUCUCCAGAAGGAUAACCCUGCUCCCAGGGUGGAGGGUGAAGCAGACAGGCCUGAACUCAAUGCAGGAAGACCAUUCAGCAGGCUUGGGCUUCAUCCAGGCACGAGGGGAUAGGAACUUCCACGUGGCAAGGUCCCUCAGGACAGGGGCUGGCGGAGUUCCAUCCAGCAACAGCCUGACCAAACGUAACUUGCACACUCCUGUAUUCCCCAGACCCCGACUAGUGGGAUUUAGAAACGAAAUAAAUCUAUAAAUGCCUACCGGAGAACACCUCUACAUUUUCCUGCCUCCAACCAAGCUAAGAAUGCAUGCCCAAUGACAGGAAAUGCUGUCUGGGGAUUGCUUUAUAAACA